CUUUGUUUCAACUUUGCAGGGGAUCACCAAUGGGGAGCUGAGAUACUAAAGCUCUCCAUGGGAAUGAAAGUUAAGAAGGGCACCAGGGAGGCCACUGGCACACAGGGUCUCCGUCUGUAACCCGGGCUGGAGUGCAGUGGCGCGAACACGGCUCACUGCAGACUCGACCUCCUGGGAUGGGAUCUCAUCAUGUUGCCCAGCCUGGUCUCCAAUUCCUG
rnacentral:lncRNA from 10 species